GGCAUCUUGGCGGAGUGGUUAACGCGAUGCCCUGCUAUUAAUUAGGAAGGCAUUUCCUUCGGGAGCGCAGGUUCGAAUCCUGCAGAUGUCG